GGGUGUGUAACUCAGUUGGUAGAGUGUGCGCUUCGCAUUUCGUGUAUGCGUAAAGUCAGGUGUUCGAUUCGCCUCUCAUCCA